AAAUGCUGACGCGUCCCAAACAGGACGAAACGGCUGUCCAGUGC
rnacentral:hammerhead_ribozyme from 1 species